GGGGGUUUAGUUUAGUGGAAAAAUGACAGGCUCCAAACCUGUAGUCCGAGGUUCGAUUCCUUGCGCCCUUG
rnacentral:tRNA from 1 species